UACGUAGGGGGCAAGCGUUGUCCGGAUUUAUUGGGCGUAAAGAGCGUGUAGGCGGCCAGGUAGGUCCGCUGUGAAAACUCGAGGCUCAACUUCGAGCUGUCGGUGGAAACUGUCUGGCUAGAGUCCGGAAGAGGAGAAUGGAAUUCCUGGUGUAGCGGUGAAAUGCGCAGAUAUCAGGAAGAACACCCGUGGCGAAGGCGGUUCUCUGGGACGGUACUGACGCUGAGACGCGAAAGCGUGGGGAGCGAACAGG
rnacentral:rRNA from 1 species